rnacentral:rRNA from 1 species
CGAGCGGCAGCGGGAAAGUAGCUUGCUACUUUUGCCGGCGAGCGGCGGACGGGUGAGUAAUGCCUGGGAAAUUGCCCAGUCGAGGGGGAUAACAGUUGGAAACGACUGCUAAUACCGCAUACGCCCUACGGGGGAAAGCAGGGGACCUUCGGGCCUUGCGCGAUUGGAUAUGCCCAGGUGGGAUUAGCUUGUUGGUGAGGUAAUGGCUCACCAAGGCGACGAUCCCUAGCUGGUCUGAGAGGAUGAUCAGCCACACUGGAACUGAGACACGGUCCAGACUCCUACGGGAGGCAGCAGUGGGGAAUAUUGCACAAUGGGGGAAACCCUGAUGCAGCCAUGCCGCGUGUGUGAAGAAGGCCUUCGGGUUGUAAAGCACUUUCAGCGAGGAGGAAAGGUUGAUGCCUAAUACGCAUCAGCUGUGACGUUACUCGCAGAAGAAGCACCGGCUAA